rnacentral:lncRNA from 1 species
CCACAUUCACCGGCGGCUAAACGAAAUGCUGGCCGCGUCCCUCAAGCCGCCGCCGCCUUCGCCACCCUCCCUCUCGGCCUCCUCCCCGUCCACCCGCGCUCCUUCCCAAACCACCGUCACCUGUCUCCCCCGCCGCCGCCGCCGCCACCGCCGUCUCCACCUCUCCGCCGCCGCGACCGCCGAGAGCGCCGGCGCAGGCGCGGCCGUCAGCCCCGAGGAAGCUUCCACCUCCACCGCGUUCGAUGAGGCGCGCCUAGCCCAGGCACGCACUUUUGUUUGUUGCUUGCAUACUUGCUGCCGCUGGGAUGCGUACACGCACGCACGCUGUUUGCUGCAAUGCCG